rnacentral:rRNA from 1 species
CAGUAGCCACGGGAAUACGAAGGGUGCAAGCGUUAAUCGGAAUUACUGGGCGUAAAGCGUGCGUAGGCGGUUUGUUAAGUCUGCUGUGAAAUCCCCGGGCUCAACCUGGGAAUGGCAGUGGAUACUGGCAAGCUAGAGUGUGUCAGAGGAUGGUGGAAUUCCCGGUGUAGCGGUGAAAUGCGUAGAGAUCGGGAGGAACAUCAGUGGCGAAGGCGGCCAUCUGGGACAACACUGACGCUGAGGCACGAAAGCGUGGGGAGCAAACAGGAUUAGAUACCCCAGUAGUCCCUGUCUCUUAUAA